rnacentral:rRNA from 1 species
CCUACGGGUGGCAGCAGUGGGGAAUUUUGGACAAUGGGCGAAAGCCUGAUCCAGCAAUGCCGCGUGCAGGAUGAAGGCCUUCGGGUUGUAAACUGCUUUUGUGAACAGCGCGGUACCGUAAGAAUAAGCACCGGCUAACUACGUGCCAGCAGCCGCGGUAAUACGUAGGGGGCAAGCGUUAAUCGGAAUUACUGGGCGUAAAGCGUGCGCAGGCGGUUAGAUAAGACAGAUGUGAAAUCCCCGGGCUCAACCUGGGAACUGCAUUUGUGACUGUAUAGCUAGAGUACGGUAGAGGGGGAUGGAAUUCCGCGUGUAGCAGUGAAAUGCGUAGAUAUGCGGAGGAACACCGAUGGCGAAGGCAAUCCCCUGGCCGUACUGACGCUCAUGCACGAAAGCGGGGGAGCAAACAGGAUUAGAUACCUUGUAGUC